UACAGAGGUCCCAAGCGUUGUUCGGAUUCACUGGGCGUAAAGGGUGCGUAGGCGGUGGGGUAAGUCUGACGUGAAAUCUCCGGGCUCAACCCGGAAACUGCGUUGGAUACUAUCUCGCUCGAGGAAUGGAGGGGAGACUGGAAUACUUGGUGUAGCAGUGAAAUGCGUAGAUAUCAAGUGGAACACCAGUGGCGAAGGCGAGUCUCUAGACAUUUCCUGACGCUGAGGCACGAAAGCCAGGGGAGCAAACGGG
rnacentral:rRNA from 1 species